rnacentral:rRNA from 1 species
GAUGAACGCUGGCGGCGUGCCUAACACAUGCAAGUCGAACGAAGCACUUCGAUUUCUUCGGAAUGAAAAAGUGACUGAGUGGCGGACGGGUGAGUAACGCGUGGGUAACCUGCCUCAUACAGGGGGAUAACAGUUAGAAAUGACUGCUAAUACCGCAUAAGCGCACAGUAUCGCAUGAUACAGUGUGAAAAACUCCGGUGGUAUGAGAUGGACCCGCGUCUGAUUAGCUAGUUGGUGAGGUAAUGGCUCACCAAGGCGACGAUCAGUAGCCGGCCUGAGAGGGUGAUCGGCCACAUUGGGACUGAGACACGGCCCAAACUCCUACGGGAGGCAGCAGUGGGGAAUAUUGCACAAUGGGGGAAACCCUGAUGCAGCAACGCCGCGUGAAGGAUGACGUAUUUCGGUAUGUAAACUUCUAUCAGCAAGGAAGAUGAUGACGGUACUUGACUAAGAAGCCCCGGCUAACUACGUGCCAGCCGCCGCAGUAAGAC